UAUUUUUUCAAACCUGUCUUAAGUACUCACUAUAAUUCCUACAAUUUAUCAGGAUGAGUAGUCAUAAUUAAUUACUUUUCUACAGUUUAACUAAUAUACCACAGUAUUGGAAGCUUCCCCCUCAGGACAUCUUGGCUCCCAAAACGGUGAUUUCCAGUACACUUAUUACAUUAUAAGAAAACAGGGUACUGUUCAAUUCACUAAAUGUAGAUGUAAAACCAACCUCUGGCUCACAGACUGUAUUAACAUGACAACUGGAAAUAAAUUAUUCACUAAAGGAGAAAGCAGUUAAAUAUGAUGUAUUUAAAGUAUAAAGAGAAAAUAAUCCACUUUGUAUGUUAUGUUUUAUAUACCAUUGAGACGGUGUUGAGAAGAGAACAGAAUGAGAAGGAAAACGUGAAGGAAUCUCAGAUCCCGAAAGACAGAAUAAUUGGUUUCAGGUGCAGUGCAAGCAAGCCAGCCUCCUGAAACGGGGUCAGGAACUGCAUGAAAUGAUGCAAAACGCCCUCCAACUCCUGUGCCUCUGAUCCAAGGCCAGAAAGCAG
rnacentral:lncRNA from 1 species